rnacentral:misc_RNA from 1 species
AGUCGUAACAAGGUUUCCGUAGGUGAACCUGCGGAAGGAUCAUUACCGAGUGAGGGCCCUCUGGGUCCAACCUCCCACCCGUGUCUAUCGUACCUUGUUGCUUCGGCGGGCCCGCCGUUUCGACGGCCGCCGGGGAGGCCUUGCGCCCCCGGGCCCGCGCCCGCCGAAGACCCCAACAUGAACGCUGUUCUGAAAGUAUGCAGUCUGAGUUGAUUAUCGUAAUCAGUUAAAACUUUCAACAACGGAUCUCUUGGUUCCGGCAUCGAUGAAGAACGCAGCGAAAUGCGAUAAGUAAUGUGAAUUGCAGAAUUCAGUGAAUCAUCGAGUCUUUGAACGCACAUUGCGCCCCCUGGUAUUCCGGGGGGCAUGCCUGUCCGAGCGUCAUUGCUGCCCUCAAGCACGGCUUGUGUGUUGGGCCCCCGUCCCCCUCUCCCGGGGGACGGGCCCGAAAGGCAGCGGCGGCACCGCGUCCGGUCCUCGAGCGUAUGGGGCUUUGUCACCUGCUCUGUAGGCCCGGCCGGCGCCAGCCGACACCCAACUUUAUUUUUCUAAGGUUGACCUCGGAUCAGGUAGGGAUACCCGCUGAACUUAAGCAUAUCAAUAAGCGGAGGAA